GCGAACGCGAUGAGAGGAACUAGUAGCAGGCAUUCCUCCUUUCAGAGAGCCGGUGGGUGGUGCGAAUCGGCAGGCGGCGCCUGUGAAUCCAUCCUCGAGCAAAAUGCUGAACACCUAAGCGGUCAGUAGGCGUUUUCGGCAGCCGCCGUUAUCGGCAUGAGCGGAAGGCAUGAUGAGCCUUCAAUAAGGGUGGCACCGCGGGAUGGCUCCCGUCCCUUUU
rnacentral:ncRNA from 1 species